AUAAAAAUAGUUAUUAAUUUUAUAUAGGAAGAAUUUUCAUAUAUGAAUAAUCAACAGAUUGAAUACUCCAAUAAAAAUGGAUAAAAAGCCAGCAGAUCAUUCAGUAAAAACUACAGAUGGUCAUUAAACUUUAGAGAAAAAAAUCAAUCUCACUUAUAAUAAUAACACAAAUGUAAACAAUGAGACUCUAUUUUGCCUUCCUAAUUGAUAAAGAUAAGGGAGGGUGGGGAGUAAUACCACUAUAGUAAUUACUAUUUUUAAUAUAAUGACCAUAUAUUAGCAUUAUGAUAAGAACACAGUGCAAAAAACCAAUAUUGAAAACAAAAUUGACGUCUUUGCUCUCCUUUCUUGGCUGGGUUAUUCAUUCAUUUAUUUGGGUAAUACAUAUUGGGCAAUAUCUCCCUUCCAAGCAAUGUGCAGUGCUGACUCACUGUCAAACCAUUUUGAGUGGUUCGAUGUGUGUGGCUGGAGGAUUGAGGGUGAGGAGAGAAAGACAGACCAAGUCUUAUUUACAGCCCAGUGCGAUAAGCAUUGGGAGUUGUAUAGAGAACACCAUCCGUGGUUGCAGAGAAGCCCUAUCACAGUGGGGCCAGGAAACAGUGGGAGGAGGAGCUUGAGCUAAGGAUAGGUAUAUUUCAGUUUAUCAAUGAAUGAUUUACUAAACAGGAAUCGCUGAGUUCUCACUGACUCCAUUGGCCCCCGUAGAUCCUAAAUUUCUUUGAAAAUGGGAUGAUGGGGACCUUUUCUCCAGCUUCAGGUGCCUUAAUGUCUUAGGGCUUCUGCAACCCGAGCCCAGACCGAAAAAAGAAAAGAGGGAAGGAAUUGUGGAUGGAAAGAGAAAGAGGAAGGGAAGAGAAAAGAGAGAGCAAGAGGUGUUUGUGGAAUUACCAUGAUUUGACCGCUGAAUGGGGCCUCAGCCCUGGAGCUUGCCAGAGCCAGGAAAUUAAAAUAAGAGGAAUGACCAAUGACCCAUAUAA